UACGUAGGUGGCAAGCGUUGUCCGGAUUUACUGGGCGUAAAGAGCGCGCAGGCGGUCGUUCAAGUCGCGUGUGAAAGCCCCCGGCUCAACUGGGGAGGGUCACGCGAUACUGAUCGACUCGAAGGCAGGAGAGGGUAGUGGAAUUCCCGGUGUAGUGGUGAAAUGCGUAGAUAUCGGGAAGGAACACCAGUGGCGAAGGCGACUACCUGCCUGUUCUUGACGCUGAGGCGCGAAAGCUAGGGGAGCAAACGGGG
rnacentral:rRNA from 1 species